rnacentral:lncRNA from 1 species
ACUGCGAGUUCAGGCAGAGUCCCGGUGCCGAGCAAAGCGUGGGGCCCCUCCGGGAAGCCCGCAGGUCACUCAGAUCGCAGCGGGCUCCGGCCUGGCCAGGAUUCUGGGGGAGCCGCCCGGAGCGCGGUGAAUCGGGGCGGGGAGAGGGGCGGGGAAGGCGCGCGAAAGCCCCAGCAGAGACCGGCAGCGGCGGGCGGCCCGCGUGGGCUACUGCUGGGGGCUGCGUUCGGGCGAGGAGGGGAGAUUCUGUCUCAGAGGCCUCGGGCUGCACGUUCUUCCGGGCCGCGCAUUUGCAGCCCACAGCAGGCCCCAGCCGGCCCCUCUGGAGUUGGGCCACUGCUUCUGCAGGCCCAGCAGGCCCCUGGGGGCGGCCGGAGGCCACUAACUGGCUUCUCCAGCUCAGCAUUCUUCUCUCAUUUGCUGGGUACCCCACUCUCUUCUCUACCCCUUUGAACCAUCUUUACCCUCAUUCCUCAGGGAACGUUUAACGAGUUGAAUGUUUACCAUGUAGUCACUCUAUAUGGAAAUCAUAAUUCAAUUUUGUAAACAUCAGACUUUGACAAAACAAAUGAUGAUGUUCUUAAGGAAAGCAGAGAGACACAGUGUGAAAUCGCUGCUCUCAGAUCAGCACACGGGAGAGGCCAGCAGUCAGGAGGGGGCUCACCGAGUUUGUCUGCACUCGCUCCCUCCGCAGCCGCCCUCUCCAGCUGGAAGAAGUCGUAAUCGAACCUGCUCAGGUCCUCACUGCCCCACUCCGAAGGAAACCCCACGUACAGGUGAGGUCAGAGGAGUGAAGUGACUUGCCCAAGACCACACAGUGAGUCAGGAGCAGGCCUGUCCCUCCAGCAGUGGUGCCAUGUUGUCCCCAAGCCAUGGUGGCAGAGGAGCUGGUGUGAACGCCCCAUCCUGCCACGUCUGUGAUGUGGGCACCUCACAUGACUGUCCCCUCCCAGCUCUUGGGGGGGACCUAGGACAUUCUGUGAGCCUGCAGGAAAGUUUACCAAAUGCUGCAGCUUUGUCCUGGUGGUGAUGGGCACCCCGUUAACGGCAACCUUGCAUUUGCUAUGUGGAGUGACCGUCACUUUACCGUCGGCAUUUGUGAAGGAAGCGUGUUUAUCUGAAAUUCUAAGAAGAUGAGAGUCAAAGACACCCAGCAAACGGCGGUUUCCGUGAGCAGGGUUGGAGCCCAGGAAGCAAACCAGCACUGCACCCUAGAUUUCAGCCAGAGGACGAAAGCCCUGCCCUCAGCUUUCUCAGACCAGCCCUGGAGUAGGUGGCCCGGGGAGACCUGGGCAGUGUCCCUGCUUGUCCUGCAGACUGUGUGGCUCUGCAGACCUCUAGAUGGAGGAGGCACAAUUCUCUAAUGCUGGACGAGGACACUGAUCAUGGAAACUCACCCCAAACCUUGAAUCGUGAUAGCAUUUGAGGCAGCCUGACCGGUGCCACAUGAACCUGAAAGGAAUCAAGAUAUAAUUUAUUUUGAAAAUAAAUCAGACACUUUCAGAAUUUGAGCGUAAGAAGUUAACAUGUCUGAUGCGUUGGAAGUGACGUUUUCUCUACAGUGGGAUGGUACUGAAGGGAUUUUUCCAGUUGGGAUUUUCAAUCAUAAUGGUACUUAGACAUACUUUUCUUUCUGCCUUGUGUGUGGGGGGAAGAGCGGGGAUGUUCCUAACUUUUAAAAAGUUCCACCUUCUUCAUGAGCAUUCUGGAGGAAGACACCAUUAGGUCUGGGCCUUAGGAGACCCACUGAAUACUGGCCACAGCAGAGGUUCUGGUGUUUGAAGCUCCGUUUCUGUGUAGUGACUGACCCCAAGGAGUGCAGACAUGUCACCCCCCACAUCCCCACAUCCCACGGCCAUCUCGCACGGAGCCCUCGCGGCCGCCCUGGGGGGUGCACGGAGCCCUCGCGGCGGCCCUGGGGGGUGCACGGAGCCCUUGCGGCCGUCCUUGGGGUGCUCGGAGCCCUCGCGGCCGUCCUGGGGGUGCACGGAGCCCUCGCGGCCGUCCUGGGGGUGCACAGCCGGGGAGGGGAAGCCAGGGGCUCCUGCGGUUCUGGGCGCUGUGUUCCAACCUGUUCAGCACUCAUUUAGGUCAGGAAGACAAUUCAACAGCUGAUGCCCUCCUCAGAAACCGCUAAACAAAAAUGUAACAAGAACGAUGCCAGGAUAAUAGAUGAAUAAAACGUGCUGUAUACAUCCGAGGGAAUGGUUUUCAGCCUUCAAGAGGAAGGAAAUUCUCACACAUGCUACAUGGAUGCACCUUGAGGACAUUCUGCUGAGGGCAUAAGCCAGUGAGAGAUGGAUGAAAAGGUCCUUAUCUGAGGUCCCCCAUCGUCAAAUCCACAGAGACAGAAGGUGGGACACUGGCUUCCAGGGCUGGAGGGGGAGGGGUUAUCUGAGGUCCCCCCAUUGUCAAACGCACAGAGACAGAAGGUGGGACAGUGGCUGCUGGACUGGAGGGGGAGGGGUUAUCUGAGGUCCCCCCAUCCUCAAACACACAGAGACAGAAGGUGGGACACUGGCUCCCAGGGCUGGAUGGGGAGGGGUUAUCUGAGGUCCCCCCAUCGUCAAACGCACAGAGACAGAAGGUGGGACACUGGCUCCCAGGGCUGGAGGGGGAGGGGUUAGCUGAGGUCCCCCAUCCUCAAACACACAGAGACAGAAGGUGGGACAGUGGCUGCUGGUCUGGAUGGGGAGGGGUUAUCUGAGGUCCCCCCAUCGUCAAACGCACAGAGACAGAAGGUAGGACACUGGCUCCCAGGGCUGGAGGGGGAGGGGUUAUCUGAGGUCCCCCCACUGUCAAACACACAGAGACAGAAGGUGGGACAGUGGCUCCCAGGGCUGGAGGGGGAGGGGCAGCUCCCGUUUCAUGGGUACAGAGUUUCCGUCUGGGAAGAUGAAAAUGUACUGCAG